rnacentral:rRNA from 1 species
AGAGAAUAGAUACCCGGGUAGUCCACGCCGUAAACGAUGAUGACUAGCUGUCUGGGCGCUUAGCGUUCAGGUGGCGCAGCUAACGCGUUAAGUCAUCCGCCUGGGGAGUACGGCCGCAAGGUUAAAACUCAAAGAAAUUGACGGGGGCCUGCACAAGCGGUGGAGCAUAGUGGUUAAUUCGAAGCAACGCGCAGAACCUUACCAGCGUUUGACAUGGUAGGACGGUUUCUAGAGAUGGAUUCGUUCCCUUACGGGACCGUACACACAGGUGCUGCAUGGCUGUCGUCAGCUCGUGUCGUGACGAUAGUUGGGUUAAGUCCCG